ACACCUCAACUCCCAUGGCUUGCCAUGACGAGCUUGGACUUUGGGGGUCUUGCUGGCCUGCGGUCGGCUCCUCUCAAAUGAAUCAGCUUGCCAGUGUUUGGUGGCAUCACAGGUGUGAUAACUAUCUACGCUUGUGGUUUUCCACCAGGUAACCUUCAGUGUUGGAGGUUCGCUGGAGCUCAUAAACGUCUCUCCUCGGUGAGGACAGCUCUUUGAAC
rnacentral:misc_RNA from 1 species